GGAGUAAUAGCUCAGUGGUAGAGCACAUGCUUAGCAUGCAUGAGGUCCUGGGUUCAAUCCCCAGUACCUCCA
rnacentral:tRNA from 1 species